rnacentral:rRNA from 1 species
AGUGAACGCUGGCGGUAGGCCUAACACAUGCAAGUCGAACGGCAGCACAGUAAGAGCUUGCUCUUACGGGUGGCGAGUGGCGGACGGGUGAGGAAUACAUCGGAAUCUACUUUUUCGUGGGGGAUAACGUAGGGAAACUUACGCUAAUACCGCAUACGACCUACGGGUGAAAGCAGGGGAUCUUCGGACCUUGCGCGAUUGAAUGAGCCGAUGUCGGAUUAGCUAGUUGGCGGGGUAAAGGCCCACCAAGGCGACGACCCGUAGCUGGUCUGAGAGGAUGGUCAGCCACACUGGAACUGAGACACGGUCCAGACUCCUACGGGAGGCAGCAGUGGGGAAUAUUGGACAAUGGGCGCAAGCCUGAUCCAGCCAUACCGCGUGGGUGAAGAAGGCCUUCGGGUUGUAAAGCCCUUUUGUUGGGAAAGAAAAGCAGCAGGUUAAUACCCCGCUGUUCUGACGGUACCCAAAGAAUAAGCACCGGCUAACUUCGUG